UCUACGGGAGGCAGCAGUGAGGAAUAUUGGUCAAUGGACGUGAGUCUGAACCAGCCAAGUAGCAUGAAGGAUGACUGCCCUAUGGGUUGUAAACUUCUUUUAUAUGGGAAUAAAACGUUCCACGUGUGGGAUUUUGUAUGUACCAUAUGAAUAAGGAUCGGCUAACUCCGUGCCAGCAGCCGCGGUAAUACGGAGGAUCCGAGCGUUAUCCGGAUUUAUUGGGGUUAAAGGGAGCGUAGGUGGAUUGGUAAGUCAGUUGUGAAAGUUUGCGGCUCAACCGUAAAAUUGCAGUUGAAACUGGAAGUCGUGAGUACAGUAGAGGUGGGCGGAAUUCGUGGUGUAGCGGUGAAAUGCUUAGAUAUAACGAAGAACUCCGAUUGCGAAGGCAGUUCACUGGACUGCAACUGACACUGAGGCUCGAAAGUGUGGGUAUCAAACAGGAUUAGAUACCCUAGUAGUC
rnacentral:rRNA from 1 species